GAGAUCAUGACCUGAGCCGGAGUCAGAUGCUUAACCGACUGAGCCACCCAGGUGCCCCAAGGCACUCCCAUUCUUGACGGGGUGACAGGCACACACGAACACCCUGUGGUUCGCAUGGGAUGCAUGCAGGAGGGCCACAUGGUGACAUCAGACUGGCACCUCAGAAGAAGGGGGACUCCUGCAGGAGCAAACUUACUCCUUAAGUAUUGUUUUAUCUUUAGUCCCUUUCAUCUCAGACAUUAUCCCACAGUAGUGUCACUCAUGCCUGUGGUUUCAAUGACAGUUACCCAGUCAGCGUCCCCAGCCUAGCAUGAGGUCCAAGCACAUAUCUGCGGCCACCUGCUAGACAAACGCCCUGAGCUGCACCGACAGCUGGGUCUUCUUGUGUCCAACACUGAGCUAUCGUCUCGGACCCUUCCCCCAAACUGGUCCCCUCCUCUUGUCACACCCACGACUGCAAGAGUGGUCAUCAUCUACCUGCUCACGAGACCCACAAGCCGGGAGUCAGCCUGGAUCCCUCCUCUCCCUCUGCUGCCCGCAGCCAGUCACCACGCUCUGUUCACUGAGCUUUCUCGGUUUCUCUCCACUGCCACCAUCCCAGCCCAAGACUCAGCCCUGCUGAAGCCUCCCGAUGGAUUCCUCUGCCUUCGGUUUGCCCCACACCCCACUUCAAACCUGUCCUCCACCUUGCCCUCAGACAUAUCUCCUCAAGGCCCAAAAGGAGCCCGUUACGCCCCUGCUGAAACCCCUUCAGUCAUUCCCCAGAGCUUUCGAGAACUGCCCGCCCCCGCCCCGGGCUGAGCCGAGUGUCCCCUGUGUCCACUGCUCUCUCGCGGCUCCGAGUGUGCAACGGUGCUGUGCUGGUUCCAGUAGCACGAUCGGAGCUCACAAUGGCCCUGAUGCUUACCAGGGUCUAGAAACGUGAACGGAAUUCCACCGAAAGAAUAUUUAAAAUCAAAGUGGAGGCUGAAAGAAGGAAAGGAUGACCUCCAGGAGCUGGAAGGAAGGAGGGGACAGGAGGCCACUGUGAGAGGGAGGGUCCUGCAGAUGCCAAGGUGGGGACAUGCUGGCUUGAGCAGGAGACAUGCCCACGUGGGCCACACAGGAGGGGAACUGGGUCUGAGGUCUGGAAUGAGGCUGAGCCCUUGAAGGCUGACAGAUCCAGAAAAAGGUCACCCGAGUCUGCCUUCUAGCCUGGCAAAGUGGGAAGACACACAGUUUUCCAGUAAAGACUGGAACCCUCAAGGUGUCUUCACUAAACCUCUUGAAAAGCAAACCCCACUGCAGAUCACCAAAGGCAACGAGCAAACCUUCAGAACUCCCACAGGGAAAAGACACAUUCCUUGCAAAGGUACAGACCUUUUCAUCAAAUGUGAGAAAAUAAUGAAAACACAGACUCUUCCAAGUGUUUAAGGAAAAUAACCACCAACCUAGAAUCAUCGAGCAUGAGGGCAAAAACAAAGACUUUCUCAGACACCAAGGUAAAUUUAAACAAGCAUUCACUGUAUGCAUGUAUGUAUGAAUAAAUAAAUACGACUAACUUUGGGGGUUCAACCCAACACUGAUCUAAAGUCCUGGAAAACAACAACAUGAGAGAUGGGGUGAUGGUCCAAGGGAGGCAUUUGGAGGUCCUUUGUCAUCUGGGAGGAGGGUAGGCACGCUGAUGAACUUUAGAUUUCCUAAGACCUGCGCGGGUGUGAAGAAAACUAAUGGUAAACAAGAAUGUUCGACGGAAACAUGCAACUCUGGAAGAAGUGGAAGGAAGGGGGAGAGAAACUCUGCCUCAUCUAAUGCAAGGCAGAAAACAGGAACCAAAGCAGCCAAGAAGCAACAUGGGAACAAGAAAUCACUAGCGUGGAUGUGAACACCGAGGCGUGUGAACCUGUUACAAGGGACUUCUCGCAUUUAAUUUAGAAAUGCAGCUACCUGCUACUUGCAAGAUACCCAUCUAAAUCAUCAUGACAAAGAAAAGUUAAAUGAAACCAGACACGAGGCAAAUACGAAUCACAAGAAGGCUGGCAAAAGACACUGCUGGGAACGAACUCGUUAGGUUCCUCGUGAGAUGGCAGCCCUUCAGCCCCACCCUCAGGCUCCACUUCUGACUUUCAUCCUCCCGCUAUCGUACCACAUCUCCACUGAAGUCUUGAACCCCUCAAGGUCCUCCAGGAGGACAUGACUGAGAAAGUCGCGGGGAUUCACUGUGACAUACGACACCAACCGGAAGACCCGAGGCCAGCCUGGCGCAUCUUCAAAGCAGUGUUGCUGAGAGGAAUGAUGGCAAUGGGGCCAUGGUAUGCUGAGGAAACCAGAGGAUACUAGAGAGCCACUGACUCAGGGCCAUGACAAGAGCGGUCCCGGCUCUGGGCUGUGAAUCAGCGUUUCAUCACUUAAAUGCUGAGUGUGACUUUCAGAACAUGGAAAAGGUCGUUUCAAUGCCUACAGGGCAUCACCCACUUUUUGUCUUGACUCCCAUCCCACAUGGAAAGCGUGAUUUUGUCUCCUAAUGGUGAGCAGAAACCACCAGACCUAUGGAUCUUUUGGUUUCCCAUUGGAAACCAGAAGGAAAGAGUUCUGUCCCAAACUACCCUCAUUUCCUGGAGGCCUUUCAAAUGUCUGAUGUGAAGAUGAGUUAAAGCACUACGGGGUUUGGAGGGGACAUCUGAGAACAUCUCACCUGCAGGUGAGACCCCGUUACCCAAACCGACAGCAGACUCCCAAGGGACUGGGGCAUGGAGCAAGAUGUGAGGCCGAGACGGGGAGGGACAGGGGGAGGAUGGGAUGACCCGGUACAAAGCCGGUGUGAGGCUAAGGGGCAGUGUGAGGAUGCUAAGGAUAGGGAGACCCAGGAGAAACCCGAGCAGGGGUGCAGGGCUCCUAAAGCCAAGUCCGAUUUAUGCUUCGCGGCUGAGGGGGUCCGGCUUCACCUGUGCGUUCCACCGAGCAACAUCACGCCGCUUGAUGUCCUCACUCUCUCGGGGCCCCCUGAGCCUCCUGGACAACAACCGGCCCUCACACCACGUCCCCUGCCCACCCGCUGCAUGUGAGAAGGAUGGCCCGAAAGAGAAGGAAGGGAAAGAGCAGGCAGGACCGCAGGGGAGAGAGGGGGUGAGCACAGGGGUGGACCCCUGUUAUACUCCUGCAACUUCAUUUUACAGACAAGGAAGCGGGUGCAGGGGGAUGGUGAAUUGUGCACGAUCACUGAGGUGGUGAGUGGUGAAAGCGAAACCCUCACCCGGGCUUCUGCUCUCCGAUUCGGCACCCAUUCAUCCAGUCUCUGGGAGGAAAAGGAAGCACCGGGUCUCACCAAUAAUGAAAGGGCGAAAUAAAUGCAAAUCAAACGCAGAAAAACUCUCCACAGGAAACUGAGGAGUCUCUAAAAAACCAGUCCAUUUAGCCUCUGUGACAAAUAACGGAACUGGGGCAACUGAGCGUCCACACUGCCAGGCAGUGUGCCCUGGGCAAAUUUCUACACCUCUCCAAACACACGCUUCCUUGGUCAUGGAAUGGGGAUCACAGUCGUAUCGCCCUCAUCCAGAUUUUGUGAAGAUCAAAGAGUCAUGAGCCAUGGCAAAGAGCUUUCUUAGCACAGCGCCUGCAGCCUAACCACUUAACCAGCGUCUGCUGGUACUAUUAUUAUGAUUACUACAGGGCUGCUACAAUCGGGGAUAAACCCGUUUCCUUACUGGAAAAAGGCCAUAAAAAAAGUCUGCUGGUGCUUUUCUAUGCAUGGGAAAGUAUAUCUAUUGUUUGGGGAGGGGGGUACUAAAUGGGUAUAUUUUUAAAAUUCCCCAUAAUAAUAAUAAUAAUAAUAAUAAUAAAAGCAUCCUUUUGCUUUUGUCUUGGAGCAUGCUUCCUUCUGACAUCAACUUUUUCUUCUACUGGGGAGAAAGUCCCAGUCUCAAUUUCACAACUAAAAAAAAAAAGGGGUUUCUUAGGAAAGUGUCAUAAACACCUCCACCCUAACGGGCUCAGACUAUGAUGGAAACCACGAAGAAGUGACUUACUUCUGUAUUUCAUGACUUUUGUUUUCCUUAGGAAGUCACCUGGACCUGGAUUACAGCUGAGAAGAGGAACUCUUAGUCUGAAAGAGCUCAGACGUCAACGUGUUUUUUCCUCCAUCUGUAAAAUGGGUACAAUGAGGUUCACGCAAUUUGUUCGAGUGGGGAACUGCAAGUUCCCGGUGUUAUGUCCUCGGCUCCUGGGGUGAUACACCUCUGAUCACUGAUCCAAUGGCCCAAAGACAAAUCUCCCUCCCUCUCUCCCUCAUUUCUGUGGCUAUCUCAUUCAGAAACACAGCUCCUCAAGAAUUUUACAUUCCUGGUUAUUUUUAGACUCAUUUAGUUUGUUCAGACACGGUCACCACAUGGCAUGCAGCUGUGGAAAGCAGCUGCUGUGGUUUGAUGAUUUCUAGUCAAUAUUACUUGACAUUUCUUGUCAGGUGAUUUCUAAAAUUUUUCUUUCUUUCUUUCUUUCUUUCUUUCUUUCUUUCUUUCUCUCUCUCUCUCUCUCUCUCUCUCUCUUCUUUCUUUCUUUCUUUUUUCCCCGGGGGAUCUUAAGACUUUUCCCCCUGGAUUUUGAGGUGCGACAUCAGAGCUGUGCAUCUGAGAGCCUACUCCAGGCUGGGGUUGGGGCCAGAAUCCUGCUAGAAAGGAAGAUUUCUUUCUAUUCUCAGGACCCAAACUUCUCAGCCCCAGAACACUCAGGUCCUGACAGCUUCCUGAAGACCCUCCUCUCAGUUUUGUGCUUUGAGUGAGGGGCUGCUGUCUCCUGGUCUCAGGAAGAAAGGAGGAAGGAUGAGGCAGGUAGCUGGCCUGCCAGGAGCCUACCUCAGUGACACUAGCUACCACGUACCAGAGGCUGGGUCACUCCGCUGAGGGGAAAGCUGGACCGGAUUGGCUGCAGGCUUCCUCCUGCUCCCCCUUAACAGCUUUUCUCCCCGACAGGUGCUUACCUGCCUUUCUCUGGCUCAUUCAGCCAUCAGUCUCUUGGCUCAGCCCAUACACCCAUCCACCACGAUGCUUUUGCCUUUAGGAGUUUUGCACAUUCUGUUCCCACCUGGAAGACUCUGGGUCCUUUUUCCGGACCAACGCUAUUUCUCAUUUGAUUCUCAACAUCAGCAUCCCUUGGGGAGCCUCUCCCGAUCCUCUAAGACAGGGUUAACUCUCUCUUUGAUGCACUUAACACCUCGGACUGUAAUAUUUGUAUUACAAACAGGCCUGUUUAUUCCUCCAGUCUCCCCACUAGACUCUAAACUCCUGGGUGGGCUCAGGUCUUGUCCACACUUGCACCCCCACUUCCCAGCCCAGCGUCCGGCCUGGCAUACAGCAGGUGCCUGGCAAAUAUGUGCUGAAUAAUGUUGCAGGCUCACCAAGAACUCCCUCCUCCUUUUCUCCCCCCCCCCACCUUGUAUUUUUUAGACUGUGUCGAAUUCUUUGUUCUUCAAAUCACUUCUGUAAUAAGCUUUCUAUUUUAUCACGGCAUCUAUUCAAGUCAAGUCCUUUGUCAGUUCUGAGUUUGACAAAAAUCUUCAAUUCUGCAGGUACGGACAAAAACGUGACGCCGUGUCUGACACAUAAACGAAAAGUGAAAAUCGUGGCUGGAUAACCUGAAAACAGCUAGCGACAUCUGUAUCCUGGCCAUCCUUCCUCAUGAAGCCUUCUUUUUUGUGGGCUGGUAUAUACCUGAGCAAAAUGAAAACAAGUCCACACGA